GACGAACGCUGGCGGCGUGCUUAACACAUGCAAGUCGAACGGAAAGGCCCUGCUUGCGUGUGGUGCUCGAGUGGCGAACGGGUGUGUAACAUGUGAGUAACCUGCCCUGGACGGUGGGAUAACUUCAGGAAACUGGGGCUAAUACCGGAUAGGAGCUCCUGCUGCUUGGGGGGGGUUGGAAAGUUUCGGCGGUUGGGGAUGGAGUCGGGGUUUAUCAGCUUGUUGGUGGGGGAGUGGCCUACCCAGGGUUUGACGGGUAGCCGGACUGGGAGGGCGACCGGCUCCAGUGGGACUGGGGUGGGGCCAAGACGGAAACGGGGGGCAGGAGCGGAAAAUAGUGCACGCUGGGCGGAGGCCGGGUAGAGGAACGCCGGGUGGGGGAUGACGGCCUUCGGGUUGUAAACCGCUUUCGCCUGUGACGAGGCGUGAGGGAGGGUAAUAGGGAAAGAGGCACGGGCUAACUACGU
rnacentral:rRNA from 1 species